rnacentral:rRNA from 1 species
UACGUAGGGGGCGAGCGUUGUCCGGAGUUACUGGGCGUAAAGCGCACGCAGGCGGUCUGCUAAGUUUGAGUGGACGAGUGGUCGGCUUAACGUAAGCAAAGUGCGAUUCGUAAACUGACAGACGUUGAGGGCUUCAGAGGGACACGGAAUUCCGGGUGGAGUGGUGAAAUGCGUAGAGAUCUGGAAGAACACCAAAGGCGAAGGCAGCAUCCUGGGAAGUUCCUGACGCUCGGGUGCGAAAGCCAGGGGAGCGAACGGG